UGAUCCAGCAAUGCCGCGUGUGUGAAGAAGGCCUUCGGGUUGUAAAGCACUUUUGUCCGGAAAGAAAUGGCUCUGGUUAAUACCUGGAGUCGAUGACGGUACCGGAAGAAUAAGGACCGGCUAACUACGUGCCAGCAGCCGCGGUAAUACGUAGGGUCCAAGCGUUAAUCGGAAUUACUGGGCGUAAAGCGUGCGCAGGCGGUUGUGCAAGACCGAUGUGAAAUCCCCGGGCUUAACCUGGGAAUUGCAUUGGUGACUGCACGGCUAGAGUGUGUCAGAGGGGGGUAGAAUUCCACGUGUAGCAGUGAAAUGCGUAGAGAUGUGGAGGAAUACCGAUGGCGAAGGCAGCCCCCUGGGAUAACACUGACGCUCAUGCACGAAAGCGUGGGGAGCAAACAGGAUUAGAUACCCUGGUAGUCCACGCCCUAAACGAUGUCAACUAGUUGUUGGGGAUUCAUUUCCUU
rnacentral:rRNA from 1 species